rnacentral:rRNA from 1 species
UACGUAGGGCGCAAGCGUUGUUCGGAAUUAUUGGGCGUAAAGGGUGCGUAGGCGGUUUGGUAAGUCUGAUGUGAAAUCUAUGGGCUCAACUCAUAGUCUGCAUCGGAAACUGCCGGGCUUGAGUGUGGGAGAGGUGAGUGGAAUUCCUGGUGUAGCGGUGAAAAUGCGUAGAUAUCAGGAGGAACACCUGUGGCGAAAAGCGGCUCACUGGACCAUAACUGACGCUGAUGCACGAAAAGCUAGGGGGAGCAAACAGG